AAGAAGGGUGCCCCUGAAAUUUGUGUGAAUUACUGCGAUUAGCUUUCUAAAUAUCGCGUAUAUGGUUCUAGCAACCGUAUGGGAUAUGGCUUUGCAUAUCCAGUGCAUAAUUUUUGUGGUAUGAGACAUGAACUGUCAAAGUGCCUUG